rnacentral:rRNA from 1 species
UACGUAGGGUGCAAGCGUUGUCCGGAAUUAUUGGGCGUAAAGAGCUCGUAGGUGGUUUGUCGCGUUGUUCGUGAAAUCUCACGGCUUAACUGUGAGCGUGCGGGGCGAUACGGGCAGACUGGAGUACUGCAGGGGAGACUGGAAUUCCUGGUGUAGCGGUGGAAUGCGCAGAUAUCAGGAGGAACACCGGUGGCGAAGGCGGGUCUCUGGGCAGUAACUGACGCUGAGGAGCGAAAGCGUGGGGAGCGAACAGG